AGGCCCGUAGAGGGUGAAAGGCCCGUGAGGGUGGAGGCGCAGAUUGGUCGGUAUCUCUAUGAGUGGACCUUGGAGUCGGGUUGUUUGUGAAUGCAGCCCAAAGUGGGUGGUAAACUCCAUCCAAGGCUAAAUACUGGCACGAGUCCGAUAGCGAACAAGUACCGUGAGGGAAAGUUGAAAAGUACUUUGAAGAGAGAGUAAACAGUGCGUGAAACCGCUCAAAGGUAAACGGGUGGAGUUGAACUGCAAACUCCGGGAAUUCAACUGGUGAGUGUGAUGUGAGCUUGGCGCACGGUCGUAUGUCUGGGUCUGCUUAACUGCGGGUUCCUGCCUUUGGUGGGAAUGUACGUAUCACUUAUCAAGUGUUGUGCGCCCGGGCCGUGUCGGACUAUCUUGCCAGUGCACUUUCUCGGAGUAGUCACCACGACCGGCGUUGCUGUCUUGCUGUUGCGGUUAAACCGGCCUUGUAGGGUCCUCGUGAUCUUGCUUGGUCGGGACGGCAGGUGACCCCGUUGUGUACUUUCGUGCGCCUCGGGUGUAAUCGCUGACUGCAUCAGUUUUGUGCGGUACGUCGGAGACGGCGGCUUGUAGUGCGUGCGUGCGUGCCCUGUGCGCUGGCGGCGCUGAGUCUGGUUGUCAUGUUGCUUGUGAAUGCAGGCCUGGCGAUGGCUCGGUGUUGUUCGGUGUGCGGUUGCGUGCGUGGCACAUUACAGGGCCAACAGUCUGUGGUGUAGUGGUAGACUAUCCACCUGACCCGUCUUGAAACACGGACCAAGGAGAGUAACAUGUGCGCGAGUCAUUGGGCGUUACGAAACCCAAAGGCGUAGUGAAAGUAAAGGUUCCGCUUGUCCGGACUGAGGUGAGAUCCUGUCGUUUCUCACGCGUGGUACACCAAGCAUCGAGCGGCAGGCGCAUCACCNGCCCGUCCCAUGGCGUGGAAGCAGCUCCUGNUAGCUCACGCCGGGCGGA
rnacentral:rRNA from 1 species